UACGUAGGGGGCGAGCGUUGUCCGGAAUCAUUGGGCGUAAAGCGCGUGUAGGCGGCUCGGUAAGUCCGGUGUGAAACCUUGGGGCUCAACCCCAAGCCUGCACUGGAUACUGUCGAGCUUGAGUCCGGGAGGGGAGAGCGGAAUUCCUAGUGUAGCGGUGAAAUGCGCAGAUAUUAGGAAGAACACCGGUGGCGAAGGCGGCUCACUGGUCCGGUACUGACGCUGAGGUGCGAAAGCGUGGGGAGCAAACAGG
rnacentral:rRNA from 1 species